GUAGGGAGCGAGCGUUAUCCGGAAUUAUUGGGUGUAAAGGGUGCGUAGACGGGAAAGCAAGUUAGUUGUGAAAUCCCUCGGCUUAACUGAGGAACUGCAACUAAAACUACUUUUCUUGAGUGCGGGAGAGGUAAGUGGAAUUCCUAGUGUAGCGGUGAAAUGCGUAGAUAUUAGGAGGAACACCAGUGGCGAAGGCGACUUACCGGACUGUAACUGACGUUGAGGCACGAAAGUGUGGGGAGCAAA
rnacentral:rRNA from 1 species